UCCGUAGGUGGCAAGCGUUACUCGGAAUCACUAGGCGUAAAGCGCAGGUAGGCGGAUCGGUAAGUCCUUUGUGAAAGCUCCCGGCUUAACUGGGAGAGGUCAAGGGAAACUACCGGACUAGAGUGUGGUAGGGGGUGCUGGAAUUCCCGGUGUAGCGGUGAAAUGCGUAGAGAUCGGGAGGAAUACCUAUGGCGAAAGCAGGCACCUGGGCCAUCACUGACGCUGAGCUGCGAAAGCUAGGGGAGCAAACAGG
rnacentral:rRNA from 1 species